rnacentral:rRNA from 1 species
GUCCACGCCGUAAACGAUGGAUACUAGCUGUUGGGAGCAAUCUCAGUGGCUAAGCGAAAGUGAUAAGUAUCCCACCUGGGGAGUACGUUCGCAAGAAUGAAACUCAAAGGAAUUGACGGGGGCCCGCACAAGCGGUGGAGCAUGUGGUUUAAUUCGAUGAUACGCGAGGAACCUUACCAAGGCUUAAAUGUAGUUUGACCGAUUUGGAAACAGAUCUUUCGCAAGACAAAUUACAAGGUGCUGCAUGGUUGUCGU